CGGGGACGGGGGCGCUCAUACAGCUAGACAAGCAUCAUUGGGGGACACGUCUAGGGCAGCUGAAAAAUUCGAUGCGGCUAGCGGAACUGAGGAAAGGCGGCGACGCUCUCCACACCGCAGGUCGCAGCGGUGCCGGCUCCGAGCACAACCACCGCCCCUCCCCGCCCUAUUCCGGGCCUUCGCCCCGGACCCCGGGCGGCUCGCUCCGCCCUGCCGCGCCUCACAACAUCUCCCGCUGCAAAUGGCCCAAUCGGGAGACGCGAUGAGAGAACGCCAGCCAAUCAGGGGCUGCUGACUCAGGCUUCCCUCCACCCUUUGCCCCGCCCCCAGUAGGAAAAGCCACCGCCCCUCGGUCUCCCCUUCCCACCCCGCCCAGCUCGGGGGGAGGUGGCUCAAAGCUCAUGUCCUCGCCGGGCUGAAGUGGAGGAGCCCGCCGAGGCAGUGGGGUUUGUCACCUUGUCACCCUCAUCCUCGCCUCCUCCCAGACACACCCUUCCUCCCUUUCCCAGUCCUCCUGCUGGUGCUGUUGAGGGUCAUUUUUAUCCUCAUGCUGGCCGGGAACUGCCAGCUAUUGUGUCUGAUCUGCUGCCACCACUGUCCUGAGGGAAAAAAGAACAAAACCAAGAAGCUUUGGGGUCUGCUUACCUUGUCCUUUCUUAGCACUCUCUGCCCUGAAGAUUUAGAGACACCUCCCCGCUCCACCCACCCCAACCUCCCCACCCUGCUCUCCGUCCGCUGCCUCGGGUCCUGUUUCUCUGUUGAGAAAAGACCGAAAACCACUCCCUGGAGCCUGAGUACCUGUGCCUUCGUUGUUCAGAUCUCCCUAAGAGUGGGAGGUGCCCAACAUUUAGAACAGACAACUAAAUCCUCAGCCUGAACGGUUUUGACUAGAUCAUUUUUAUAUGGCCAUGAAAUUUGCAUGUUCUUGACAGCCCCUGACAAAACUAGUCAGCCAAUAAUAACAAAGAAAAAAAAUAGGAUAAAACGGAGGGAAUGCCUGCCAGUCAGUUGGUAAUUUACUGAAUGGUCCACUGGGCUAGAGCAGUAUCCAGUCCUGGAUACUGUAGAGUAAAUGAACUAAAAGUGAAUAGAAAUGCAGGGUUCAAGUAGGGAACCUCUAGUGGGCUUAUAGAAAAGGUCCAGAAAGGAAAAACGAGUUUAAGCACAAAGCAGCUCCUUACAAAUGCAGAUGAGCGUGCAUGACAUAAACUGAGUACCUCACAGCUGAGAUGUCUAGGGUUAAGGUAUUUGUAAUGGAAAUUUUUAUAAAUGUUGAUUUUGUAAAAGGCUUUCAGUGUGGUAAAGGAGACUAAAAGUUGGCCGUGGAAGGAGACUAUGAAAAGGAGGUAAAACACGUUUCAGGAAUUGUGGGAAAGUAACCUAGAAAGACAUUACUGUAAGAGGUAAAUGGACUGGGAUUAUAGUUUAGCGCCAUCAUUUACCACGUGACCUACGGCAAAUUAUUAUGUGUGUAAGGACUGGAGCUAUCAAGUAAUAACAGUGACUGCCAUCUAUGUAGCACUGCCUCCCUGCUGAGUAGUCAUCCAAGAGCUUUACACACAACUUAAUGAGAUAGGUAUGUCGCAGAGCCAGGAUUCCAGCCCCGGGGGUGGGUAGGGUCCAGACUCUACACUUCUCUCCACAACACUAUCCUACCUCUAACACAGUUUUUAACAACAAAAGCUACCAUUUACUUAGCUUAUUAAAUGCUGAUCAUUGUGCUUUGAGGGUAACAUGUAAUCCUACUUCUGGGAUCGGUAUGAUUACGUUGUUCUAAAACCUGGGAUUGUUUUUAAGAACCAUUCUAAGCUGCUGCCAUGUGUAUCUUGCUGAGUAUUAGGCUAUCUAGAUGGCGAAGAGGGAAAGCCCAGAACUAAAAUUUGGGAAACCUGGGUCCUCCAAGAAGAACAGUACCUUCCCUCUCUUGCUGGACUGCUGAGAGCAUCCAAUGAGACCAUAGAUGUAAACGAGUUUUAAAAAUGUAAAAAUAUUAUUCCAAUUAAAAUAUUAUUACGAA